AUACAUUCAUGAGCUUGUUUUUUUUCCUCACUCAUAACAAGCUUCUCGAAAAGCUUUAGGAAUAUUGUGUUCAUUGUUACUGGCUGAACUGUCUUAGAAUUUUAUUUUUCCUUGAAAGAUGGUUCAAUAAACAAUGGAACAUUC